rnacentral:lncRNA from 1 species
CCGGGGCACCUGUCUAAAAACACCCCGCCUCCGAACGCGCGCUCUUGCGGAAUUCUCCCGAACCGCAGAGCCCUCGUGGCUGGGACCGCAUAGCAACCGGGGGCAGAGUGCGAGCCCCCAGCGGUGUGCUGGGAUGGAAAAGCAGGAGCCGCUGAGGAUGGACUACGGGGCGUGUUCCCGAAAAGCCGGGAAGAGAUGUGGCGGGGCUGCCGCGGGCGUCUCUAAGGCCGGCACGGGUGGCGUCUUGACUCCCUGCCCCUCCAGCCGCGGACCUCGGACGGGGGGAAGGGGGCUCCUCCAAGCGGGGAGACGGUCGCCGGCCGAGCAGCAGGGCUCCUGGCCGGCGGAGGGUGCUAUGCUCUGCGGGACCGCCGGGAAGUCCCAGACAAGGGGGUCUGGGGGGGUCUCUCUGGAGAGUGGCUAUAAAUGCUAGCCUUUGUGCUGGGCAGCAAAGCAAAUCAUCGGGAAUAACCCGGGAGCCUGGCAGGGAAACCGCUGCACUAUGGAGAGGACGCUUCCAGAUACAGAGGACAAAUCAAGUGAAGGGACGGAACAGGUCACACCCAGAGCGGCACAGAGGGGCUCUCUCCGGUCCCCAGUGCAUGGGCUGGAGUGUGGCCCCUGGCAGAGCCCUGGAGGCCGGCUCUGCUUCCUGCCCCCUUCCAGCCUGGAGCAGCCCGAGGGCGCAGCAUUCCUGGGGCAGGCCUGAGCCCUGUGGUGGGCUGAGUUGAGUCCCCAGAAAGGAUCUAUGAAAGAUAAAAUGUGGUGUGAGGACACGGCCCAGCCCCACCGUCGUCUUCCAGCCCCACCAUCGUCUUCCAGCCCCACCGUCGUCUUCCAGUCCCACCGUCGUCUUCUAGCCCCACCAUCGUCGUCUUGGACUCUCUGGGUGGCACCACGCUGUGGGUGCUGCUCUCCUCUGUGUCCCAAACGAGUUUGUGCCUCACUUUGUCGGGUUUUGGCUGUGACUUGGAGCCUCACCAAGCUCCCUUUUCCUCUGUCUCCCAUUCUCCUCUCCAGGCCAGGGUGGCUUCCCCAGCCCUCCUCCCCGGGUCCUGCCUGUGCCGAGCCUUCCUCCCAGGAGGGAGGUGAUACUGACUUGAGAUCUUAUGGGUGUUUUGUUUGUGGCUGGGCCUGGCCGACCCUCUCUCCACGGCCUUAGAUCACACUCUGGAUGGAUAGGACAGUCGUCCUCAAUACUGAGCCUCUUUGGAGCAUACCCACUGAUGGUGGUUCACAAGCUACCCACGCCCACAGGCUGACCCAGAUCUCCGUGAAAUUAAAAAAUACUGUGAAAGGAAAAAGAGCCAAUGUCAUGUGGAUAAUGAAGUGUCAGCCACUGAAAAAUCUCAAAAUAAUAAACUUGACGACUCUGCUUUCUCUUGGUCCGUGAUGGAAGAGGAAGCCCGAACGCACGCCUCUAUCAGCAACUCUGCAGCACCGCACUUGCCACUCGGAGAAAAUGCUUU